rnacentral:rRNA from 1 species
GGGUCAGUAGGUUGGUCGUGCCACCGGUACGGGCUGGUCUCACUGAUUCCUCCUUCCUGAAGAACCGUAAUGCCAUUAAUUUGGUGUUGCGGGGAAACAGGACUGUUACUUUGAAAAAAUUAGAGUGUUUAAAGCAAGCUAACGCUUGAAUACAUUAGCAUGGAAUAAUGAAAUAGGACGAUCGAUCCUAUUUUGUUGGUUUCUAGGAUUGACGUA